rnacentral:rRNA from 1 species
AGAGUUUGAUCCUGGCUCAGGAUGAACGCUAGCUACAGGCUUAACACAUGCAAGUCGAGGGGCAGCAUAGGGUUUGCUUGCAAACCCUGAUGGCGACCGGCGCACGGGUGAGUAACGCGUAUCCAACCUGCCCAUGGCUAGGGAAUAGCCCGUUGAAAAGCGGAUUAAUGCCCUAUGGGGUCCUUUGCAGACAUCUAACGAGGACUAAAGGUUUACCGGCCAUGGAUGGGGAUGCGUCCGAUUAGGUAGUUGGCGGGGUAACGGCCCACCAAGCCAUCGAUCGGUAGGGGUUCUGAGAGGAAGGUCCCCCACAUUGGAACUGAGACACGGUCCAAACUCCUACGGGAGGCAGCAGUGAGGAAUAUUGGUCAAUGGACGGAAGUCUGAACCAGCCAAGUAGCGUGCAGGAUGACGGCCCUAUGGGUUGUAAACUGCUUUUGUAUGGGAAUAAAGUGCGGGACGUGUCCCGUUUUGUAUGUACCAUAAGAAUAAGGACCGGCUAAUUCCGUGCCAGCAGCCGCGGUAAUACGGAAGGUCCGGGCGUUAUCCGGAUUUAUUGGGUUUAAAGGGAGCGCAGGCCGGCUUUUAAGCGUGACGUGAAAUGUGGAUGCUCAACAUCUGAACUGCGUCGCGAACUGGAGGCCUUGAGUGCAUUCGACGUCGGCGGAAUUCGUGGUGUAGCGGUGAAAUGCUUAGAUAUCACACAGAACACCGAUUGCGAAGGCAUCUCACGAAUCCGCGAUUGACGCUGAGGCACGAAAGUGCGGGGAUCAAACAGGAUUAGAUACCCUGGUAGUCCGCACGGUAAACGAUGGAUGCCCGCUGUUCGCGAUAUACAUGUGAGCGGCCAAGAGAAAUCGUUAAGCAUCCCACCUGGGGAGUACGCCGGCAACGGNNAAACUCAAAGGAAUUGACGGGGGCCCGCACAAGCGGAGGAACAUGUGGUUUAAUUCGAUGAUACGCGAGGAACCUUACCCGGGCUUGAACUGCAGGGGAACGAUACAGAGAUGUUGAGGUCUUCGGGACCCCUGUGGAGGUGCUGCAUGGUUGUCGUCAGCUCGUG